rnacentral:rRNA from 1 species
AUGGCCUCGACGACAGCGGCGGUGCCGGAGGUGGCGCUGCGGUCCGGCGGCGCGAGGCCCAUGCCGGCGAUCGGCAUGGGCACCGCCACGUUCCCGGUGGUGCCGGAGACCACCGUGAAGGCCGUGCUGGAGGCGGUGGAGGUGGGCUACCGCCACUUCGACACGGCCGCCAUGUACGCGACGGAGCGGCCCCUGGGCGAGGCCCUCGCGGAGGCGGUGCGCCGCGGGCUCCUGGCGUCCCGGGAGGAGGUGUUCGUCACGUCCAAGCUCUGGUGCACGCAGUGCCACCCGCACCUCGUGCUCCCGUCCCUCCGGGAGAGCCUCCAGAACCUGCAGAUGGAGUACGUGGACCUGUAUCUGAUCCACUGGCCGAUCAGCCUCAAGCCCGGGCCGACGGUGUUCCCGGUGAAGCGGGAGGACGCCGUCCCGUUCGACUUCGAGGGCGUGUGGCGGGCCAUGGAGGAGUGCCACCGCCUCGGGCUCGCCAAGGCCAUCGGCGUCAGCAACUUCACCACCAGCCACCUCGACAAGCUCCUCGCCGCUGCCACCGUCCAUCCUGCAGUCAACCAGGUGGAGCUGAACCCGGUCUGGCAGCAGAGGAAGCUGAGGGGGUACUGCGCCGAGAAGGGCAUCCACGUGGCAGCCUACUCGCCGUUGGGAGGGCAGAACUGGAACGGCGACGGAAACGCCGUGCUGGACUCCGAGGUGCUCGCGGAGAUCGCCAAGGCUAGAGGAAAGACCAUCGCACAGGUAGCGCUGAGGUGGAUCUACGAGCAAGGGGUGACCCCGAUCGUCAAGAGCUUCAGCAAGGAGAGGCUCAAGGAGAACCUCGGGAUCUUCGACUGGUGGCUCGCCGACGACGACCUGCGCAAGAUCGGCCAGAUUCCGCAGAAGAAGAUCGUCAGAGCUGAAACCGUGCUGUUCUCGGCGGAGGGCGAGUUCACGUCGGCUGACCUCGCAGACAUGGAAAUUGUUGAGGAAUAA